AACGAACGUUGGCGGCAGGCCUAACACAUGCAAGUCGAACGCUCCAGCAAUGGAGAGUGGCAGACGGGUGAGUAACGCGUGGGAACCUUCCCUAUGGUUCGGAAUAGCCCAGGGAAACUUGGGGUAAUACCGAAUAAGCCCUUCGGGGGAAAGAUUUAUCGCCAUUGGAUGGGCCCGCGUCGGAUUAGCUAGUUGGUGGGGUAACGGCCUACCAAGGCGACGAGCCGUAGCUGGUCUGAGAGGAUGAUCAGCCACACUGGGACUGAGACACGGCCCAGACUCCUACGGGAGGCAGCAGUGGGGAAUAUUGGACAAUGGGCGCAAGCCUGAUCCAGCCAUGCCGCGUGAGUGACGAAGGCCUUAGGGUUGUAAAGCUCUUUUGGCGGGGAAGAUAAUGACGGUACCCGCAGAAUAAGCUCCGGCUAACUUCGUGCCAGCCGCCGCCGUAACAC
rnacentral:rRNA from 1 species